CCGAGUCUGUCUUCCAUUCCACUUCAGGGAGGGAAUGCUCAGCCCGGAAUGAACAGCACCAAGAUUAACUGGGACAGAAAGGACCAUCUCGUUCUAUCCCUUGCCUCUUCCGGAACUAAAUCAUCUUUGGCAGAUGGUGUUUCUAGCCACAGUCUCCCAGGGAACCUCCCCCAGCGCCUAGCAACCUUCAGCAUUGGGGAGUCCUUCCCGUGGUUUGGUCUAAAUGCCCACGAUGCUCCCAGGCUCAGGGGUCCACACUCCUCUGUCCAUUAGGGGCCCUCAGAGGAACCCAACCCCCAGGACACCACAGGUCCAACUGUUCCCUCGCUAGGAGCCCUUGGCCAUCCCACCAUGGGGCGAAUGUGACCUCCCACUCCAGCCAACACUCCCCACACCCCCAGCCUGCCCAGGAGCAUUUGCUUUUCAAAACUUCCCUUUCUUAAAAAAGAAACAAUUUUCCAAAGCCCAGGGAGUUAAUCCAUGAAAUCUUCUGGAACAAAAGCAGCUGGCCCAGGCCUUGGAUAAGUCGAUCAACAAACAUGCCAGAGCCCUGUGUGGUUCAAAAUGUUCUUUGUUCCAGCCGCCGAGCCUGGAUCUUGCUGGAUCCUAACGGUUCUCCUUGCCAGGCAGCUGCACCCCCUUAACUGCAUGAACAUUUCUUAAGCGCCCACCGUGGACCAGGCACGUGCUGGGCUUUGGAAAUACAGCGCUGGGCAACACUCGCAGAACCCCUGCUCUCACAGAGACACUACACAAACCAGCCAAAGUCCAUGUGAAGUAAUGUGUGAUUGCAAAUCCGGCUACAUUUUAUGGAAGUUUUAAAAAGAAAAGGAACGAAGGUCCUGGCUCAAAAUAAACGUUUAAUAAAUAA